UUUCUGCUAUGAACCUGCUGAAAAUUACAAUUCGAUAGUUGUGCGAACCAAAGCAGCGUGAAACUGUUUCGCUAUUACACAUGGAUGGGGAAAUGUUUUUGAUUCAUAAUUGUCACAAGUUCAGCCCACACUAACGUAUUUCCAGCAGCUGGCGACGAUAUUUUUCGUAUCCGGAACGUAAGGAAUCAUGAGAUGAAAGUGGACCAAAAUCAAGGUGUAUAUAUUUAGAAGGUGAAUUUUUGUCGAUUUGGCAGGUAGACAUUUUGGAUUUUGGCCGGUCGAGAAACUUCAAAGUUUGUUUACUUAAUCAUAUGGUUUGGGACUACCAAAAUAAACAAACAUAAAGCAUCGUUUUUCGGUUCAGUAAACCAAGUUUCUACAUUUAUCAUCGUCGUUGCACAUAGCACUGAAGAUAAACAGUUCCUUUACCAGCUCUAAAAAGAAAUUUGCGUGACGUUGUUUUCUUCAUACAGCUACCAAAGGCUUAUCGGACGUAUCGAAUUACGGCAUACCACUCGAUAAAAUUACACUGGUAGAUUAAGUGAAGCUGUUCGAUUCUCGUGCUAAGUACCAUAAAUUACAAGGAAUAGGAUAGAAUUGUGCCGCAUCCACCUCGAAACCCUUAUCUUUCGUACCCGUCAGGCGUAUAAUGCUUCACUGGAUAGCAUUAGCAAUUAUGCGUAGAUUGUUCGGAAAGUUUCACUAUGAUUUGAAAGCACCAGCACCACCAGUGCGUGGACCGUAAAGUAUCAGUAUCAUGAUGUGCUGCCUCCACUGGAUCCAGGUAAGGACUCCAUCGAUCAUCGGUGUAAGAACGUUUAUAUUGAAUGA